CCUAUUCAUGGAGGUGUUUCAGGUGUGGCUGCUGUGUCACACAUGAGUCAGUAGGUGGCAGAGUGGAGAGAGGCUGUCUACCCUCAGUGUUCUGAUCUGUGAGCAUCUGAAUGAUGAGCAGCCUAAUAUU
ensembl:snoRNA Gm22900 predicted gene, 22900